GACGAACGCUGGCGGCGUGCCUAAUACAUGCAAGUAGAACGCAGUUGCGAACGGGUGAGUACCGCGUAGGUAACUGCCUCAUAGCGGGGGACAACUAUUGGAAACGAUAGCUAAUACCGCAUACUGUGAGAUGGACCUGCGUUGUAUUAGCUAGUUGGGGGGGUAAAGGCUCACCAAGGCGGCGAUACAGAGCCGACCUGAGAGGGUGAUCGGGCACACCGGGACUGGGACACGGCCCCGACUCCUACGGGAGGCAGCAGUAAGGAAUCUUCGGCAAUGGGCGGAAGUGUGAACGGGCCACGCCGCGGGGGUGAAGAAGGUUUUCGGAUCGUAAAGCUCUGUUGUUAGAGAAGCGGUAUCUAACCAGAAAGGCACGGCUAACUACGUGCCAGCCGCCGCGGUAAUUC
rnacentral:rRNA from 1 species